GAAUUCACUAGUGAUUCAGGCCUAACACAUGCAAGUCGAGCGGUAGAGAGAAGCUUGCUUCUCUUGAGAGCGGCGGACGGGUGAGUAAUGCCUAGGAAUCUGCCUGGUAGUGGGGGAUAACGUUCGGAAACGGACGCUAAUACCGCAUACGUCCUACGGGAGAAAGCAGGGGACCUUCGGGCCUUGCGCUAUCAGAUGAGCCUAGGUCGGAUUAGCUAGUUGGUGAGGUAAUGGCUCACCAAGGCGACGAUCCGUAACUGGUCUGAGAGGAUGAUCAGUCACACUGGAACUGAGACACGGUCCAGACUCCUACGGGAGGCAGCAGUGGGGAAUAUUGGACAAUGGGCGAAAGCCUGACCCAUCCAAGCCGCGUGUGUGAAGAAGGUCUUCGGAUGUAAAUUAAAGGGAGUUGGGAGGAAGGGCAGUUACCUAAUACGUGA
rnacentral:rRNA from 1 species